UGGGGAAUCUUGGACAAUGGGGGCAACCCUGAUCCAGCGAUGCCGCGUGUGUGAAGAAGGCCUUCGGGUUGUAAAGCACUUUAGUUGGGGAGGAAGUCUUGUAGUUUAAGAGAUGACAAGAUUGACUGUACCCAAAGAAUAAGCACCGGCUAACUCUGUGCCAGCAGCCGCGGUAAUACAGAGGGUGCAAGCGUUAAUCGGAGUUACUGGGCGUAAAGGGCGCGUAGGCGGUCAUGUAAGUUGGAUGUGAAAUCCCUGGGCUUAACCUAGGAACUGCAUCCAAAACUGUAUGGCUAGAGUGUGGUAGAGGGUAGUGGAAUUUCCGGUGUAGCGGUGAAAUGCGUAGAUAUCGGAAGGAACACCAGUGGCGAAGGCGGCUACCUGGACUGACACUGACGCUGAGGCGCGAGAGCGUGGGGAGCAAACAGG
rnacentral:rRNA from 1 species